rnacentral:rRNA from 1 species
AGGGUUUGAUCAUGGCUCAGAACGUACGCUGGCGGCACGCCUAACACAUGCAAGUCGAGCGGGGUAGCAAUACCUAGCGGCAGACGGGUGCGUAACAUGUGGGAAUCUGCCUUUUGGUUCGGAACAACACGGGGAAACCUGUGCUAAUACCGGAUAAGUCCUUACGGAGAAAGUUUUAAUGCCAAAAGAUGAGCCCGCAUUUGAUUAGCUAGUUGGUGAGGUAAGAGCUCACCAAGGCGAUAAUCAAUAGCUGAUUUGAGAGGAUGAUCAGCCACACUGGGACUGAGAUACGGCCCAGACUCCUACGGGAGGCAGCAGUGGGGAAUCUUGCACAAUGGGCGAAAGCCUGAUGCAGCGAUGCCGCGUGAGUGAAGAAGGCCCUUGGGUUGUAAAGCUCUUUCGUCGGGGAAGAAAAUGACUGUACCCGAAUAAGAAGGUCCGGCUAACUUCGUGGCAGCAGCCGCGGUAAUACGAAGGGACCUAGCGUAGUUCGGAAUUACUGGGCUUAAAGAGUUCGUAGGUGGUUGAAAAAGUUGGUGGUGAAAUCCCAGAGCUUAACUCUGGAACUGCCAUCAAAACUUUUCAGCUAGAGUAUGAUAGAGGAAAGCAGAAUUUCUAGUGUAGAGGUGAAAUUCGUAGAUAUUAGAAAGAAUACCAAUUGCGAAGGCAGCUUUCUGGAUCAUUACUGACACUGAGGAACGAAAGCAUGGGUAGCGAAGAGGAUUAGAUACCCUCGUAGUCCAUGCCGUAAACGAUGUGUGUUAGACGUUGGAAAUUUAUUUUCAGUGUCGCAGCGAAAGCGAUAAACACACCGCCUGGGGAGUACGACCGCAAGGUUAAAACUCAAAUGAAUUGACGGGGACCCGCACAAGUAGUGGAGCAUGUGGUUUAAUUCGAAGAUACGCGCAGAACCUUACCAACACUUGACAUGUUCGUCGCGACUCUAAGAGAUUAGAGUUUUCGGUUCGGCCGGACGAAACACAGGUGCUGCAUGGCUGUCGUCAGCUCGUGUCGUGAGAUGUUGGGUUAAGUCCCGCAACGAGCGCAACCCUCACUUUUAGUUGCCAUCAUUAAGUUGGGCACUCUGAAAGAACUGCCAGUGAUAAGCUGGAGGAAGGUGGGGAUGACGUCAAGUCCUCAUGGCCCUUACGUGUUGGGCUACACACGUGCUACAAUGGUAUCUACAACAGGAAGCAAGACUGCGAAGUUAAGCAAAUCCCUAAAAGAUACCUCAGUUCGGAUUGCACUCUGCAACUCGAGUGCAUGAAGCUGGAAUUACUAGUAAUCGUGGAUCAGCGUGCCACGGUGAAUGCGUUCCCGGGUCUUGUACACACCGCCCGUCACACCAUGGGAGUUGGUUCUACCUUAAGGCAAGGUUUCAAACCCUUGACCACGGUAUAGUCAGCGACUGGGGUGAAGUCGUAACAAGGUAACCGUA